rnacentral:lncRNA from 1 species
CAAAUAAGGGAAUAAAAGCUGGCCACCAGAGACAGCAGCAGUAAUCCACUGGGGUACGCUUCCGCGCUGUGGAGAGUAUGUUCUUUUGCUCUUCACAGUAAAUCUUGCUAAUGCUCACUUUUUGGGUCCACACUACUUUUAUGAACUGUAACACUCACUGCGAAGGUCUUUAGCUUAACUCCUGAAGCCAGCAAGACCACGAAUCCUCUGGGAGGCAUGAACAACUCCUGACCCGCCACCUUAAAGAGCUGUAACACUCACUGUGAAGGUCUGCGGCUUCACUCCUGAAGUCAGCGAGACCACGAACGCACCAGAAGGAAGAAACUCCCCACACAUGUGAACAUCUGAAGGAACAAACUCCCGACACUCCAUCUUCAAGAACUGUAACACUCACCGUGAGGGUCUGCAGCUUCAUUCUUGAAGUCAGCAAGACCAAGAACCCACCAGAAGAAACCAAUUCCGGCCACAGUGUCUCCUUGGCUUACUGUGGAAAAACUCAAGGGGAGAUUAUUCUCUGAAAAAUCUUACCAGAGAAAAGAAAAUCAGACAAAUGAUGUGCUCUCAUUUAUUCUUCACUUUAAUCCUAAAGAGGUGAAAAUCUGACAGCUCAAAAUGAAGCAAAAACCCAAGAUUAAAACAGACACCAUUUUGUGCCCACUCAGUCUUCUUUCCAGGGUCAUACAUGUGUUUAUAACCGCACUUCUACAUUCUAUUAUGAGGGCAAGAGUUGUGGCUGCUAUAUAAAUGCUUCCUAGCAUAGUUCCUGACAACUAGGUGAUUCAUGAAUAUUUGCUGAAGAAAUAAAAAUAACUUUAUGAACAUCGUUA